AAACAACAUGUGAAAUCGCGAAUGGCUACCUCGAAGGAACAUGCGCUGCAAACACUGACUGUACAAUGACAGCCAAUGCAGGGACAUGCACGUCGACCAAAUGCAAAUGUCAUUCAGGGUUCAUCGCUAACACCGACAUCACAGCUUGUAUAGCUAAUGGUGCAUUGGGGGGAACAUGUUCUGUUGCUGCCGAUUGUACGGGGACUACAAACGCUAACCUUUGCACGGGCUCCAAGUGCGCGUGUAAAUCCACUUAUACAGCAAACACCGCUGGAACAGCUUGUAUAGCUAUGUGGCUAAACAACGAUCUAACACUCAACAUGGAAUAUCUUACAAACGUCUAGGGUUGGCUCUAAAAUAGGCUAAUGGUGCCUUGAGUGGAACAUGUUCUACUGCUGCCAAUUGUACGGGGACUACAAACGCUGACGUUUGCACGGCUUCCGAGUGCGCGUGUAAAUCCACUUAUACAGCAAACACUGCUGGAACAGCCUGUAUAGCAAACGGUGUUCUUAAUGGAGCAUGUAUAGCUAAAAUCGACUGCAACGGAACUACCAAUGCGGACGUUUGCAACUCAACCAGGUGCGUGUGUAUAACCGGAUAUUCAGCAAACACUGAUGGGACAGCAUGUAUAGUUGACGGUGCCCUUGGAGGAAAGUGCACUGCAUCAAGCGACUGUACCAGUACAACGAAUGCCCGCACCUGCACUACCGCCAAAUGUGUGUGCGAUACAGGGUUCUCCUUGAACCCAGAUAAAACUGCCUGUUUGGGAGGCAAUACAGGUUUCGUUUUAACGACCUCGAUCUGGAUAGUGGUCAUCGCCUAUAUGCCUGCAGCUUUAUAUCAAUAGUGAACACGCGUACUUUUCCAAAACAAGUGACUAUGGACAGGUCCUUUGGAAACGACGAGAAGUUAUGUGUGCUCUAACAUUAUGCAGAAUAUUUUAUUAUUUUUGUUUGUUAAAAAAAUCCACGAUGAUGCUACCAGGAGGAUGGACUGUAAUAGGGUAGAAAUGAAUCGUGGUGGACUUUGUUAAGUAUUCGCCGACACAAACUUUAUGUUAUUAUAUUCCACAUAGACACAAAAAAUACUGUAAUUAACCAGUUCAUGAUGAUUUCCAACUUAAAAUAACAUUUUUUGCUCUCUAGAUCGAGUCAAAGUACAAACAUACAUGCAACAUUUCUUGAUUACAUAUAUUAUAUAGAUAUUGGAAUUAAGAUAUCACAUACCGGCAUUAUUUUUUGUUUUGUUUUAUUUUAAAAGCUCCACCAUCCAGCUUUUAUAAUUGAUAAAUAGUA